AUCUGUGGCCACACCACCCUGAACACGCCCCAUCUCCUCUGAUCUCGGAAGUUAAGCAGGGUCAGGCCUGGUUAGUACUUGAAUGGGAGACACCCCCUCCCGGGCUGCUAAGUAGUACUUUAA
rfam:Erinaceus europaeus unplaced genomic scaffold scaffold00248, whole genome shotgun sequence